rnacentral:tRNA from 1 species
UUAAUUGAAACCAAAAUAGAGGUAAAUCACUGUUAAUGAUUAAACUGAGUUUAUACUCCAAUUAAA